rnacentral:rRNA from 1 species
GAUGAACGCUAGCGGCAGGCCUAAUACAUGCAAGUCGAACGGUGUCUUCGGACAUAGUGGCGCACGGGUGCGUAACACGUAUGCAACCUACCUUACAUUGGGGGAUAGCCUUUCGAAAGGGAGAUUAAUACCGCAUAAGACAGUAGCUGGGCAUCCAGCAGCUGUUAAAGAUUUAUCGAUGUAAGAUGGGCAUGCGUCCAAUUAGUCAGUUGGCGAGGUAAUGGCUCACCAAGACUUUGAUUGGUAGGGAAACUGAGAGGUCAAUCCCCCACACUGGCACUGAGAUACGGGCCAGACUCCUACGGGAGGCAGCAGUAGGGAAUAUUGGGCAAUGGACGCAAGUCUGACCCAGCCAUGCCGCGUGCAGGAUGAAGGCGUUAUGCGUUGUAAACUGCUUUUAUACAGGAAGAAACGACUCUUGCGAGAGGCAUUGACGGUACUGUAUGAAUAAGCACCGGCUAACUCCGUGCCAGCAGCCGCGGUAA